GGGGCUUGUGUGGGCUGUGUUAUUUGUGGUCGGGUAAGUCUGGCCUUUUCAUGGUGCUUUUGUGCGGGUUCAUCUGACUUUUGUACGCCUGUGAUGUCAGGGUGUGGGUGGCCAUCUGGGUUAAAGUUCCCCUCGUCUGGAGACCGAGGGGGGGUUGAGUUGUCAGGAGGGUGUCUCAGGUGGGUCUGGUUGUAUUGGUGGGUAUUACUAUGGGAGUGUUAUGUCCAAGUUCUGAUAGUUUGUAUCCCAGAGGUCCCAUGUCCGGUGAAACGCUUUGUACGAGUCGUGUAUUUGCGCUGUUAGUUCAUCUAAGACGCGUGUUUCUCUUAUUUUGUGGUUGUUAGCUCGGGGAUCCAUUGAUCUGCCUAUAGUUCUGCGAUUGCUCUGCGUGUAGCUAGGGUUAUGCGGGCCACCAGUUUGUUUUCCUGUCUCGUGAGGGUGUCCAGUGGUUUGUUGAGUAGCAUUGUCCAUAGCUGUGCUCAGAUGGGUUUUCCUACCACCUGUUCGAUGAGGCUCUGUAGCUCUGUCCAGAGCUGUUUGAGUUUGGGGCAUGUCCACCAACAGUGGAGGUAUGUGCCCUUUUCUCCACAUAGUUUCCAGCAUUCGGUGUUGGUUUUCUGGCCCAUUUGGUGCAGUCUGUGUGACGUCCGGUACCAGCGGAAGAUGGUUUUGUAGGCCUGUUCUUUAUGCGUUACGCAUGUUGUGAGGGAGUGCGUGGCUGCCCAUAUCUCGGCCCAGUCGCUCGGAUCCUCCGGUGGUCUGAUGUCUCUUUCCCAUGCUGUGAUGUAAGUUAGAUUGAUUUGGGAGGCGUGCGUUGUGAGUGUGGUGUAGAUGUCUGAGAUUUGUCCCCGACGAAGCGGUGCCUCGAAGCAUUGGUGUUAGUGGUGAUAUACCUGCAUGUUUGACUACUGGCUGUUGUGCUAAGUCUCGCAGUUGGAUGUAGCGGAAGUAGUCAGCCGUGGUCAAGGCGUCUGCGUUUGGUAGUUCGGAGUAUUUGAACAUUUCCCCUUGUCGGUAUAGGUGUAGAAGUCUGGAGAUGUCUCUCUGGUCAAAUGCGGUGAAAUGUUUUGAUGUCAUGCCCGGUGAGAAAGUUUUGUUGCGGUAUAUCGGUGUCACCGGGGAGAGAAAGGACAGAUCGUACCUGGGGUUGUGUUUGUCCCAAAGGGCUAUUGCGUGUGUGAUUGCUGGGGUGGUAGGUGGUGGUACCCACAUGUAAGAGGUUGGGAGUUCCCAGCCCAUGACAUGUUCCAGAUCCACCCACCUUUUGGUGCCUGGUGGUGCGUGCCAUUGCUGGAUGUGGGCCAGUUGGGCUGCGUGGUAGUAAUGGUGAAAGUUGGGGAGCCCCAGUCUUCCCAUGAGGGAACAUACAUCAUUGAUCUGCGGAUUCUGGGUUUCCGGAUUAAUCUUUCUACGGCUGCUUGUAGGUGUUUGAAGUCCGUUUUUUGAAUUGGGAUUGGCAGUGUUUGGAAUAGGUAGAGGAAGCUCAGUAACAGGUUCAUUUUGAUGGUGGUGAAUCUACCCAGCCAUGACAUGCCCAGUUUGUCCCACCUUUGUAGGUCUUGUUGUGCUGUCAUAAGUAGUGGUUUGUAGUUUAUUUCAUAGAAGUCCUCCAAUUUGGUGGUUACUGGUUAGUUUGAUGCCCACGUAUGUGUGUACGUUGAAUGAUCCAGUACUUAGGGAGAUUCCACCAGACAAACCGAAGAUUGUACAUAGGAGUCUACUUAAUUUGAAAAGGAUUUUAACAGAUGGGAUUAUUAGAGAAGAAAAGGCUAAUAAUAAUUUAACUAAUAUUUGUUUUGGUUUUUUAAUGCGGCAAAUGCAGGGCCUACCAAUUAACCCAUUAAGGAAAGCAACAUAUUGAAGAACUUAGUGUGAACGAAAAGAUCUUUACAAUCAGAGAUUGCAUUACAUGCAACACUAAGAAUGUGCUUUACAUGCUCACCUGUCCUUGUGGCUUAAAUUACAUAGGAAGAACCACUAGGCUACUAAGGACAAGGAUAGGUGAGUAUGUGUAUAAUAUCAGUAGGAAGUUUGAAAAGCAUCAGGUUUCACUUCACUUCAGAGACCAUCACAAUAAUGAUCCCUCUUGUGGCGAAAGCUGCCUCGCCACUGGGCAUUGGAGAGGCCUGGCUGCCCGCCUCCUACCUGCUGACUAUGGCCCCUUGUGAAUUUGUACUUUUGAAUGCAAUAUUUGGGCAUGUGGUAUUUUAUAUUGCUUCUACUGGCCCUUUAAGGGCCAUCCGUGGACAUAUUAUGACUGUUAGGAACAAUGCCCUUUAAGACUGUGUAGCAGGUUGCAUUCAGGCUGUCUUUAAUAUUAUGUGUUCGGUAAACGGUGUUAUGUGUAUGCAGCAUUCCCCUGAUUGUUCGGUAGAAUCACUCCAUUCAUUAUAUUGAGUGAAACUACCGAACAACCAGACCACCCUGGAGUAAGUGUGCCUCCAAUUACCGUUUGCAACAAUGUUGCAAACGGGUAAUUGGCAAUCUAUGUAAUGUGUUCUUUGUCCUCUGGGUGGCCGCCAUUCAGGAAACGAACACGUGGCGGCGGCCAUCUUAAACUCCCGAACAGCGGUGUUUUGCCGUUGAGUGUCUGGAACUAAAAUCGGACACUCGACUAGGCAAACACUGCUGAGACCUCCAGACUUCCAUGAAUUCAUGUGGAAACUACCGAAUGACCCGCCGUUCGGUAGAAAGAACCCCAUGAACAAGGGAAUUCGUUUAAACCCUCCCCAGGCUCUGUAACCCAGGGAAUUCGUGUGUUUCAUUCCCUUUUCUGUGACCGACUGCAGGGCCAAAAUACAUGGAACUAUUUUCGGAUACUUUUGCCAUGCAGUCGGUCAAAACUUUAGCCCUCCAUAAUUCCCGAACCCCUGCUCCGAUCUGGGUGAUUUUUGGAUAUGUGUCUCACCCAGAUCAGGGCUAUAAGGGGGUGUAACAUUUAAAGGGGUAUCCUUAUGUUUAGGGGUACAUCCAGUAUCCCAGGGAAUUUGUGUCUGGACUAAUGGGAUUAUGUGUCACACUAAGGGGAGGAGAUGUGUGGGAGGUAACUGGUACAUUAUUGGCUGGGGUACUAAUUGUUGUGGAUCCCUCCCUUGCAUGGGAGAAUGUCUUAAAAGGAGGUUGUGUGAAUAAAUCUUCAGAUUCUGCUUAACCCUCAAAACGAAGUGUCGUCUCGUUAUUGGAUUUUAUGCUGACUGCCAGGAGUGUAACCCUUUCGUAUGUUUUUCCUGUAAGGAUAUUUCCAGUGUUCAUGUGUUUCCAGUUCGGUGCUUACAGUAGCUGUCAGUGUAGCUGAGAAAGGGGAAUACCGCUUAAACGGUUUUUAACCGCUUGUGGGCAAAACUGUCCGUUACACCUCUCUACUACGCUUUAAAGGCAUUCAGAAGAUACACUGGAGAGGGGGUGAUUUUAACCAGAAAAUGGGAAGGGCGGAGAUGAAGAUAAUAUAUGAAUUCAAUACCUUGAUCCCAAAUGGCAUGAAUAAAGAUUUUGAAUUGUGCCAUUUUUUAUAAUCUCAUUUAUAUAUCUAUAUAAUAUACAGGGAGUGCAGAAUUAUUAGGCAAAUGAGUAUUUUGACCACAUCAUCCUCUUUAUGCAUGUUGUCUUACUCCAAGCUGUAUAGGCUCGAAAGCCUAC
rnacentral:lncRNA from 1 species